rnacentral:rRNA from 1 species
UACCAAGGCGCUUGAGAGAACUCGGGUGAAGGAACUAGGCAAAAUGGUGCCGUAACUUCGGGAGAAGGCACGCUGAUAUGUAGGUGAAGUCCCUCGCGGAUGGAGCUGAAAUCAGUCGAAGAUACCAGCUGGCUGCAACUGUUUAUUAAAAACACAGCACUGUGCAAACACGAAAGUGGACGUAUACGGUGUGACGCCUGCCCGGUGCCGGAAGGUUAAUUGAUGGGGUCAGCGCAAGCGAAGCUCUUGAUCGAAGCCCCGGUAAACGGCGGCCGUAACUAUAACGGUCCUAAGGUAGCGAAAUUCCUUGUCGGGUAAGUUCCGACCUGCACGAAUGGCGUAAUGAUGGCCAGGCUGUCUCCACCCGAGACUCAGUGAAAUUGAACUCGCUGUGAAGAUGCAGUGUACCCGCGGCAAGACGGAAAGACCCCGUGAACCUUUACUAUAGCUUGACACUGAACAUUGAGCCUUGAUGUGUAGGAUAGGUGGGAGGCUUUGAAGUGUGGACGCCAGUCUGCAUGGAGCCGACCUUGAAAUACCACCCUUUAAUGUUUGAUGUUCUAACGUUGACCCGUGAUCCGGGUUGCGGACAGUGUCUGGUGGGUAGUUUGACUGGGGCGGUCUCCUCCUAAAGAGUAACGGAGGAGCACGAAGGUUGGCUAAUCCUGGUCGGACAUCAGGAGGUUAGUGCAAUGGCAUAAGCCAGCUUGACUGCGAGCGUGACGGCGCGAGCAGGUGCGAAAGCAGGUCAUAGUGAUCCGGUGGUUCUGAAUGGAAGGGCCAUCGCUCAACGGAUAAAAGGUACUCCGGGGAUAACAGGCUGAUACCGCCCAAGAGUUCAUAUCGACGGCGGUGUUUGGCACCUCGAUGUCGGCUCAUCACAUCCUGGGGCUGAAGUAGGUCCCAAGGGUAUGGCUGUUCGCCAUUUAAAGUGGUACGCGAGCUGGGUUUAGAACGUCGUGAGACAGUUCGGUCCCUAUCUGCCGUGGGCGCUGGAGAAUUGAGGGGGGCUGCUCCUAGUACGAGAGGACCGGAGUGGACGCAUCACUGGUGUUCGGGUUGUCAUGCCAAUGGCACUGCCCGGUAGCUAAAUGCGGAAGAGAUAAGUGCUGAAAGCAUCUAAGCACGAAACUUGCCCCGAGAUGAGUUCUCCCUGACUCCUUGAGAGUCCUGAAGGAACGUUGAAGACGACGACGUUGAUAGGCCGGGUGUGUAAGCGCAGCGAUGCGUUGAGCUAACCGGUACUAAUGAACCGUGAGGCUUAACCUUACAACGCCGAAG